rnacentral:misc_RNA from 1 species
UGGUUCUCGCAUCGAUGAAGAACGCAGCGAAUUGCGAUAAGUAUUGUGAAUUGCAGAUUUUCGUGAAUCAUCGAAUCUUUGAACGCACAUUGCGCCUUCUGGUAUUCCAGGGGGCAUGCCUGUUUGAGCGUCAUUUCCUUCUCAAAAAUUUGAAAAUUUUUUUGGUUGUGAGUGAUACUCUUUAAUAGAGGGUUAACUUGAAAAUGGUGGUUGGAGAGAUGCAUUUUUUUUCAACUCUUUUUGUUGAUCUGCUUUUCUUCCUUGAAUUACGUUCUAGGUUUACACCCAAUCGUGAAAAAAGGAUUUAGAGUAUUGGAAAAGAACAAUUGAAAAAGUCGAGUGUAUUCGCCCUCCAGCAAAUAAAACUAACACCAAGUUUGACCUCAAAUCAGGUAGGAUUACCCGCUGA